UACGGAGGGUGCAAGCGUUAAUCGGAAUUACUGGGCGUAAAGCGCACGCAGGUGGCUGAGUCAGUCGAUUGUGAAAGCCCUGGGCUUAACCUGGGAAUUGCAGUCGAUACUACUUAGCUCGAGUAUGGGAGAGGGCAGUGGAAUUCCCGGUGUAGCGGUGAAAUGCGUAGAUAUCGGGAGGAACAUCAGUGGCGAAAGCGACUUCCUGGACCAAUACUGACGCUCAUGUGCGAAAGCGUGGGGAGCAAACAGG
rnacentral:rRNA from 1 species